GUUGUACUAAUUAAUGUGUGAAGAUAGCCUAAGCAGUGAGCACGUAAAAAAUAAAGAGACUAAUUAAGCACAUGUUCUGCAUAGUUUUUUUUCUUUAGUAUUAACUUAAUUAAUUAGUGAUGGAAACUGAACAAUUGAAGGCUAACUCUAAUUCUUCGUCUGCAAGCUCAAUUACUGGAGCAAAACAGAAAAUUUAGAGGAAACACUUUUCAACCAGUACAUGAUGUGCUACCGAAUUCGUCCCUGACGGAAAGGGAAAAUGAGCUGGCAGUGGGAUUCAAGAAGUACGAAAAGGGGAAAAAUGGGCUUCCAGUUCUACAACGGAAACAAAAAGGAAAAGAAAAUCUUAGUAAGCCUUGCGAGCAGCUUUUCUGUUGCAUGAUGAAAAAAUGGCAUAGUAAUUAUAUCUGUCCCAUCAAACAAGACUUGGAGGAAUUAUCCAGAAUGUCACUAGGUAUUUGUUCAGUAAGCUACUAUCGAGACUGGUCCAGUAGAGAAAUGUCAGCUGAAUUAGAGAAAGUCUUCAAAGGACUGGAUAUCUGUGGAGGCUACUGCUUGUGUGUGAAGAGUGGAAAGUUCCUGAAACAUUUUCAAAGUAAUGUUCCCGAUGGAAAAUCUAUCAAGGUAACUUAGUUGUAAUGCAAAACUUACAAAUAAACAAAAUAAAUGUCAGGUUAUGAUCUA
rnacentral:misc_RNA from 1 species